CCAGCAAAACCCUAGCUCUGCGGCUGGCUUCGCUCACCACCACCACCACUGAAUCUCUUCUCUUUCAUUCUCUCUAUACGAAAAUAUUCUUGAAUCUAUAUAUUUGAUCUUUGUCAAGUAAAAGCCUAACGCCGUUGUUGAGGACGAUUUGAAUCACAAAGAAAACUGCAACUGAGGAGUUAUUCGAUAUUAUAAGCGUGGUUAGGGUUUUCAAUCUAUCGAGGAGUCGUCUUCAUCAAACCUAUGAUAAUGGUAGAGAUGAUACGUCACUUCAAUCAGAUGUUUAAGGGUUCAAGUUUCUUAAUCAACGAAUUCUUCCUAUGGAUUAGGUUUUCAGAGUACAAGACUUCAUCAUGGCAAUUCAAUGGCACCAAAGAAUACAAAGGUCUAGCUCCCUCAAUUUUCAAAGCCAGCUAAAUCUGGUGGUGGUAAACAAUAGAAGGUCAAUUCAUGAUCCUCAAACUUAAAUAUAUAUAUUGGGUUCUUCUUUUAUGUUGGAACUAAUUUGUUUUAUUUUUUUAAUGAAUUGUUUUGUUUUUGGAUUUGUAUAUAAGUGGAGCAAAGGUUAAUAUCAUUCUAUUGUCUAAUAAAGCUAAGGUUUGAUCUGUGAUUUUGCUAAGAUUUCUGUGAAUUCAUCACUUCAGCUGGUUUAAUAAAUAGUAUGCCUUUACUGAAUAUGCCUUUACGUUUCACCUUUAAUACCUGAAUUUACAAUUUUGGUUCUCUAGAAGGGCCAUCAUUUAUUAGUGAAGUUAUGUUUACAAGAUAGGGAGUUGUGGGAAAUCUCAUGUUUUUUCUUCUUCUGAAAGGGUUAUGGUAGGAAUACCUGGAUUUCUUUAGUGUUGUCUUGUUGAUUAAUAUUUCAACUAUGUUUGAAACCUUCUCUCUAGAUAUGUCGUAUAUUCUAGAAAAUUGAUUUCUUUAUAAGCUGUAGUAUGUUAUAUUGAUUGAGUUCAAUCAUUUAUAUUCAGUUUAAAGUGUUUCUUAUUCGUUCAUGCUUUUGUGAUUGUUGUUAGCUAGGCUUGCUUGCUGUCUUUCAUCUCAAAAUCUUUUGGUUAUGUUGCUUCAUCCCAAGUCAUAAUGUUUGGUUUUGUUUUUUUCAUUAGUUUUAUGCCUCUCCCAGUCACCAUGUACUUAUUGGCCAUAUAUGAAACUAAUUGACAUACGAUACUUGAGUCUCUUUCUAUGUCAAAGUAUACAUUCCCGCUUAAGUUUUAUCUCAGUGUGUUGUUAGAGCCACAUUUCUCAAUAUCCUACCACAGUGAGGAUAACAAUUUGAUUAUCUGGUAUUUGUUCAGUCUGAUACACAUAAAGAACGAACGCAAUUUUUAUGUGCUUCCCAAUAAAUUAGUUUUUUCAAUAUUUCUGUCUGUUCUAGGGUUUUUAAUUUAAUCUGCUAAGCACCUAUUUUGUUAUCCUUGUUUAGAGCUUCUGCAAGUAUUAUGUCGGCUUUCUUCGUUGCUUCUGAUGGUAUCCUCUUAGAGAUAUCCAUCAGGUAGAGUUGACUCGUUUGGUUGAUGGUGAUGACAACACUGUUGCAAGUACUUCAGCGAUGAAUGUCAGCUUAUAAUAUAUCUCAGUCACUUUUUUUGUAGUCGUACCUAGCUAGUGCAGGAUAAGAUCGAAUAGUGCAAGUGGUGGCAUCAUACCUGCAAUGGUACUACCUGCGAUUAUAAAUUCAUUUCAGUGAUUUGAUUCAAUGAUGAUAUGAUCAUGUCACUCCCUUUAUAUUUUGUUCUUUUGCACAAAUGUAACAUAAUUUUUUUUGUCAUUCUCUAGUAAUAAAAAGAAGGGAAGCAUUAUCUCAUUCUUUUCAGCAUAUGUUAUCUCAUUUUUCAGCAAAUGUACUUUCGUUCAUUAGCUAUUCAGCGGAUUUAUGUACAUUAAUUUGUUUUCUAAUAUGACUUAUCUAUGCCUUUCUUAUUCAAAGUUAUACAUGACGUUCUUUCUUUUUUUGCAGUUUACAUUCGAAUUGCUGAGAGAUUCUACACUGAUAUUGCAGUUGAUUGACAUGGAUGUUGUGUCUUGCAAAAAUGUAUCACUUUCACUGCAGGUGGACUCCAAGAAAAAUUGGUAGCUGAAAUUUGUGUGAACGACGUAUUCCUUGCGCAGGAUGCAUUUGGGUAGUUUCUUAAAACAAGCUCAGCAUACAACCAUUUCUGUGUUUCUUAUGUUAAUUUUUGAUAUGCUAAUAUUAUGGGUAUUUUCUUUCUACCUCACAAAGUAGAAUUUUUCUUUCCAUCUUCAUCUCGCUCUUGAAAUUUUGCUCAUACCUUUUUGUUUAUAUCUCCUUCUCUUGCUUUCUGUCCAUUCGCUUACAUUUCCUUUUUUUUUUUUUUAGUUUUAUGUCGACCAUUAAGAACUGAUAUUCCAGGUUAUCCUGCACGUAGGAGUCACUCCGAAUUUGUUAAUGGAUUCGGUCUCUUAGCUCUGAAACGUAUCGACGGAGGGUAGUUAAUUACUUCAAUCCACUAUUCCUUUUUUGAGAAUUAACUCUUUUUGGUUGAUUUGUUGUAGUUAAACUCUUCUGCAAUGAAGUUCUUUCAUUGAGUUCAAUUGUUGAUUUCCUUUUUGUUUUUCUUACAUCGCUGCUAUGAUGAAUAAGCUUUGGCAACUAAAUGAUGGAUAAGCUUUGGCAGCGAAGGUUUUGCACAAGUUAAAACCUGAAACUUUUCAUAUGUGCUCGCAUACCAUUUUGAUAAAAUUCAUCAACUGAAAAAAAAUUUGAUUUUUUAUCUGCUAUACUAUUUAUAUUAACUUUCCUCUUUACAUGUCAUGACUUUUUGCAGGUUAAUCAAAAAACUAUGUAUUUUAACUUUUUAAGUCAUCUAUGCCCCAUACCUGCGGAUACGUGAGUUGGAAAAAAAAAUUGAACCUCCUCUUGUUAUCUUAUCUGUUACUUGCCUUAGUAGGGUCACUAGAUUUUGGGUUUCACAGAUUCUGAGAUAAGAUUUCUGAAUAAAAUUGAGAAUGUAGAAUAUGAGAAGCUCACUCUUAAUGUUUCUCUGAUUGUAAGUUCUCUCUAAUCGUUGUUUCAUUUUUUUAAGUUUCUUAUUUCUUAAACAAAAAACCUUCAAGUAUACCUUGUUUAUGGAGUCUGACCUUCAGUUUUUUGUCUACUUGCGAGGUAUUAUGCUUAAUGUUUAUUUUUGCUUAGUGAGAAGUGAACUGCAGUAGGAUCGGCAUAAACCUGUGCAGGUUCUCUUGGGUAUCACAGAUUCUGAGUUGGGUCUUCUAGAUAAAGUUGAGGAUGUAGAAUAUGAGAAGAGCACUGUUAAUGCUUCUCUGUAACGAUGAUAUGCUUGCUUGUCGAAGAAUUGCGAGUGUAGAAAUUUAUACUUGUAUGUUAUGAUACACAAAUGUUGUGGUGUGUAAAUGGGUAACAAUAGUGUAUCGUAGAGAAUUCUUGUAUGUUGUGAAUGUUUUUCUAAAAAGCUUAAAGCUGAACUCUGUUUAAGAAAGUAGGUACUGUUGCAGGUAUCCUCAUUUUGACCAGGCCAAAAUUGACCUGGAACUAUAUUUUUGAUGUUACAAAAAAUUUG